rnacentral:rRNA from 1 species
GACGAACGCUGGCGGCGUGCCUAAUACAUGCAAGUCGAACGCUUCUUUCCUCCCGAGUGCUUGCACUCAAUUGGAAAGAGGAGUGGCGGACGGGUGAGUAACACGUGGGUAACCUACCCAUCAGAGGGGGAUAACACUUGGAAACAGGUGCUAAUACCGCAUAACAGUUUAUGCCGCAUGGCAUAAGAGUGAAAGGCGCUUUCGGGUGUCGCUGAUGGAUGGACCCGCGGUGCAUUAGCUAGUUGGUGAGGUAACGGCUCACCAAGGCCACGAUGCAUAGCCGACCUGAGAGGGUGAUCGGCCACACUGGGACUGAGACACGGCCCAGACUCCUACGGGAGGCAGCAGUAGGGAACCUUCGGCAAUGGACGAAAGUCUGACCGAGCAACGCCGCGUGAGUGAAGAAGGUUUUCGGAUCGUAAAACUCUGUUGUUAGAGAAGAACAAGGACGUUAGUAACUGAACGUCCCCUGACGGUAUCUAACCAGAAAGCCACGGCUAACUACGUG